AGUGAACGCUGGCGGUAGGCCUAACACAUGCAAGUCGAACGGCAGCACAGUAAGAGCUUGCUCUUACGGGUGGCGAGUGGCGGACGGGUGAGGAAUACAUCGGAAUCUACUUUUUCGUGGGGGAUAACGUAGGGAAACUUACGCUAAUACCGCAUACGACCUACGGGUGAAAGCAGGGGAUCUUCGGACCUUGCGCGAUUGAAUGAGCCGAUGUCGGAUUAGCUAGUUGGCGGGGUAAAGGCCCACCAAGGCGACGAUCCGUAGCUGGUCUGAGAGGAUGGUCAGCCACACUGGAACUGAAACACGGUCAAGACUCCUACGGGAGGAAGCAGUGGGGAAGAUUGGACAAUGGGCGCAAGCCUGAUCCAGCCAUACCGCGUGGGUGAAGAAGGCCUUCGGGUUGUAAAGCCUUUUUGUUGGGAAAGAAAAGCAGCAGGUUAAUACCCCGCUGUUCUGACGGUACCCAAAGAAUAAGCCCCGGCUAACUUCGUG
rnacentral:rRNA from 1 species